UCAAAAAUUAAGUUGCUGGUUGUUCAACGGCCAGGCUGUUCUAGUUCUGAAGAAGCAAUUUCAUGUAGGCCAUCAUACCAGAGGGGAAAUAGGCCUACUCGCCAACAUCAUUCAACAUCUCCAACCAGAUUGUACCGCUCGUGUAGGUGUGUUUAUUUGUCAUGCUAGUAAUAAUAUAUUGAGAAUGCAUAAAUACAUUUUAAUUACUCCGGUUGAAAAGAUGUGGAGUGAGAAUGGAAACUCAAAGAAACUUUUUGCAACUUAUGAAACAGAACAUGACUUGUGUGACAAGCAAGAAGCCCAAGAUGUCAGCUUUCCAAGAUCACUCAGAGAGCAGGAGCUGAAAGGCACUUGUUUGGGCUUAAAUCGUGGGAUUUCGUUAUCAGUUGCAGUAAGUCAUCCAAAUCUCUUAAACAUUUUUAUAUAUGAGAACCAGAGAACAUCGAACCAUAGUUCUCAAGAAAAGGCUAAAACAAUGUCAAUGCAGCUUUCACAGAGAUGA
rnacentral:lncRNA from 1 species